rnacentral:rRNA from 1 species
UACAGAGGUCCCAAGCGUUGUUCGGAUUCACUGGGCGUAAAGGGUGCGUAGGUGGUUGUGCAAGUCUGAUGUGAAAUCUCCGGGCUUAACCCGGAAAUGGCAUUGGAAACUGCAUGGCUAGAGGGUUGGAGGGGGGACUGGAAUACUUGGUGUAGCAGUGAAAUGCGUAGAUAUCAAGUGGAACACCAGUGGCGAAGGCGGCUUGCCAGAACGCGCUCGACGGUGAGGGAUGAAAGCUGGGGGAGCAAACCGG